rnacentral:misc_RNA from 1 species
UACGUAGGAUGCGAGCGUUGUCCGGAUUUAUUGGGCGUAAAGAGAACGUAGGCGGCCUGUUAAGUUUGGUCUUAAAGACCGGGGCUCAACCCCGGGAGUGGAUCGAAUACUGGCAGGCUGGAGGACGGCAGAGGAAGGUGGAAUUCCCAGUGUAGCGGUGAAAUGCGUAGAUAUUGGGAGGAACACCGGUGGCGAAAGCGACCUUCUGGGCCGUUCCUGACGCUGAGGCGCGAAAGCGUGGGGAGCAAACAGG